rnacentral:rRNA from 1 species
UACGUAGGCAGCGAGCGUUGUUCGGAAUUACUGGGCGUAAAGGGCUCGUAGGCGGCCAACUAAGUCAGACGUGAAAUCCCUCGGCUUAACCGGGGAACUGCGUCUGAUACUGGAUGGCUUGAGUUUGGGAGAGGGAUGCGGAAUUCCAGGUGUAGCGGUGAAAUGCGUAGAUAUCUGGAGGAACACCGGUGGCGAAGGCGGCAUCCUGGACCAACACUGACGCUGAUGAGCGAAAGCCAGGGGAGCAAACGGG